GUAUAAACCAAGCACCACACAGGAUCCAAAAGUGUCACAAGCUAUACAUACAUAAGAAUGGCUCAUUCACUUGUCUCAAUGAUUUUGGCAAAAGUUAUUGUCACAGUCAUGGUCAUUGUUUUAUUUUCACUUGGUGUUAGCAGCAAGCCCCGGUGUGUUGGAGCGUGCUCUCAAUUUCCUGACUGUGCUGCCUACUGCAAAACUAAGGGCUAUCAGACGGGGACUUGUACUCUAGAUGUCUGUUGUUGUGCCAAAGCUGUUGAACACAUUUUUAGCUAAGAUUUUCUUGAUAUGAUUGCAAACAAUCAAUGUAUCUUUCGAAUAAUUAUUAGCUUCAUUGCUGGAAAUAAAAAACAUUAUGAGAAGUUGAGUUUCA